rnacentral:rRNA from 1 species
GGAGGAAUAUGGGUCAAUGGGCGAGAGCCUGAACCAGCCAAGUAGCGUGCAGGAUGACGGCCCUAUGGGUUGUAAACUGCUUUUAUGUGGGGAUAAAGUGCGUGACGUGUCAUGCAUUGCAGGUACCACAUGAAUAAGGACCGGCUAAUUCCGUGCCAGCAGCCGCGGUAAUACGGAAGGUCCGGGCGUUAUCCGGAUUUAUUGGGUUUAAAGGGAGCGUAGGCUGUCUAUUAAGCGUGUUGUGAAAUUUACCGGCUCAACCGGUGGCUUGCAGCGCGAACUGGUCGACUUGAGUAUGCAGGAAGUAGGCGGAAUUCAUGGUGUAGCGGUGAAAUGCUUAGAUAUCAUGACGAACUCCGAUUGCGCAGGCAGCUUACUGUAGCAUAACUGACGCUGAUGCUCGAAAGUGCGGGUAUCAAACAGG